rnacentral:rRNA from 1 species
CGUCAAAUCAGCACGGCCCUUAUGUUCGGGGCGACACACGUGCUACAAUGGUCGAUACAGAGGGCUGCUACUACGCGAGUAGAUGCUAAUCUCAAAAGUCGAUCUCAGUUCGGAUCGGAGUCUGUAACUCGACUCCGUGAAGUUGGAUUCGCUAGUAAUCGCACAUCAGCCAUGGUGCGGUGAAUACGUUCCCGGGCCUU